rnacentral:rRNA from 1 species
UUGACCUCGGAUCAGGUAGGAAUACCCGCUGAACUUAAGCAUAUCAAUAUAAAGGGAGGA